rnacentral:rRNA from 1 species
CGCACGGGUGAGUAAUGCAUAGGUAACGUGCCCCUUAGUCUGGGAUAGCCACUGGAAACGGUGAAUAAUACCGGAUACUCCUUCUCACUUAAUGUGAGUCGGGAAAGUUUUUCGCUAAGGGAUCGGCCUAUGUCCUAUCAGGUAGUUGGUGAGGUAAGAGCUCACCAAGCCUAUGACGGGUAGCGGGUCUGAGAGGAUGAUCCGCCACACUGGUACUGAGACACGGACCAG